AGCGAACGCUGGCGGCAGGCCUAACACAUGCAAGUCGAACGGACCUUUCGGGAGUAGUGGCGGACGGGGGAGGAACACGGGGGAAGGGGCAUGUAGGUUCGGAAUAGCUCCUGGAAGCGGGGGGUAAUGCAGAAUGAGCCAUGCUGGGGAAAGAUAUAUCGCCUUUAGAGCGGCCCGCGACUGAUGAGCCAGGUGUGUGAGGUAACGGCUCACCAAGGCGACGAUGAGUAGAUGGUCUGGGAGGAUGGCCAGCCACAUUGGGACUGAGACACGGCCGAAACUCCUGCGGGAGGCAGCAGUGGGGAAUCUUGCGCAAUGGGCGAGAGCCUGACGCAGCCCUGCCGCGUGAAUGCUUAAGGUGUUAGGAUUGUAAAAUUCUUUAACCCGCCACUAUAAUGACGGUACCCGAAGAAGAAGCCCCGGCUAACUUCGUG
rnacentral:rRNA from 1 species